rnacentral:rRNA from 1 species
AUUGAACGCUGGCGGCAGGCCUAACACAUGCAAGUCGGACGGUAGCACAGAGGAGCUUGCUCCUCGGGUGACGAGUGGCGGACGGGUGAGUAAUGUCUGGGGAUCUGCCCGAUAGAGGGGGAUAACCACUGGAAACGGUGGCUAAUACCGCAUAACGUCGCAAGACCAAAGAGGGGGACCUUCGGGCCUCUCACUAUCGGAUGAACCCAGAUGGGGUUAGCUAGUAGGCGGGGUAACGGCCCGCCUAGGCGACGAUCCCUAGCUGGUCUGAGAGGAUGACCAGCCACACUGGAACUGGGACACGGUCCAGACUCCUACGGGAGGCAGCAGUGGGGAAUAUUGCACAAUGGGCGCAAGCCUGAUGCAGCCAUGCCGCGUGUAUGAAGAAGGCCUUCGGGUUGUAAAGUACUUUCAGCGGGGAGGAAGGCGAUGUGGUUAAUAACCGCGUCGAUUGACGUUACCCGCAGAAGAAGCACCGGCUAACUCCGUGCCAGCAGCCGCCGUAA